UGUUAAAAUUUUCAUCUAUUUGUAAUGUUAAAAACUAUGUGACAAACGGAAUAACCAAAUAAUGACAUGUGACGUGCCACUGUACCUCAAACUGAUGUAUAUGAAUCAAUUUUUAAUAAUAGAAAAGGAUUAAAAUUUUAAUA
rnacentral:pre_miRNA from 1 species